rnacentral:rRNA from 1 species
UGAACAUACCACUUGUUGCCUCGGCGGAUCAGCCCGCUCCCGGUAAAACGGGACGGCCCGCCAGAGGACCCCUAAACUCUGUUUCUAUAUGUAACUUCUGAGUAAAACCAUAAAUAAAUCAAAACUUUCAACAACGGAUCUCUUGGUUCUGGCAUCGAUGAAGAACGCAGCAAAAUGCGAUAAGUAAUGUGAAUUGCAGAAUUCAGUGAAUCAUCGAAUCUUUGAACGCACAUUGCGCCCGCCAGUAUUCUGGCGGGCAUGCCUGUUCGAGCGUCAUUUCAACCCUCAAGCACAGCUUGGUGUUGGGACUCGCGUUAAUUCGCGUUCCCCAAAUUGAUUGGCGGUCACGUCGAGCUUCCAUAGCGUAGUAGUAAAACCCUCGUUACUGGUAAUCGUCGCGGCCACGCCGUUAAACCCCAACUUCUGAAUGUUGACCUCGGAUCAGGUAGGAAUACCCGCUGAACUUAAGCAUAUCAA